GAUUGCUUAACCUAAAUCAAGGUUCUUGUUUUGAAAACAAGUUAUAAAAGUUAAAAUCUUUUAGCAUUCU
rnacentral:tRNA from 1 species